rnacentral:lncRNA from 1 species
UUAAAACCAACCUCCAUGCUUUCGUUGCGCAACUCUGAUGAAUCUUUUAAAGCAAUCACCGUGUGUUCUGCUGCCUAGUCUGAUCCAAAUGAAACCCUCAUCGAGCACUCCUAUCGAAAUUUCCAACUCACUAGCUAAUUCACUCAAAAUGUACGAAUAUGUUCGUACUCACAUUAACACGCCUACAAGGCAUUUCGUAUCUAAUUUAGUACACACAAACAAACCAAAUGUGUGAGUGGCGGGGAAAUGAUCCAAGGCAUGUCCUUGCAAGAAAAAAAAUUAAAUAAAGGCAAUGUGUUCCCAAUCCUACCCCAAAAUCAAACCAAUUCAUACAAUUUCAAGCAGAGGUAUCCAAAUUAAGCAAUUUAGGUAAUAAGAAAAUUUAGUCACUUAGGUUUCUAGAUACAUGGAUUACUAGAUACAUGGGUUUCAUAACCCUAGUCCGAGCAUUAACAAAUUAGGUUCGAGUGUUAGAAAACGUAGGCUCUGACACAACUAAAUGUAACAUUGCUCACCUGGUUCGGUCGACAGACCCGAUUUAUAGGAUGCUACAUCAACCAACUGAACUUAAUCACAUGCAUAUAGAGUUACGAGUAAGAGUAACGACUACUAAAAUUAACAUUUAAAGAAAAUUUCAUGUCUAAUUUAAACAUUUAAAUGACAAUAGAAAUAGUUUUAACCAUAAUUAAGGUUCAUUUUUAAUAAAUCUCAAAAAUCCACGUAGGUACUGAUACCGAAUGGGUAGGUAUCGAUAUUUUUAUCAUUAGUACCGAUACUCGUAUAUGUGUAUCGAUAUCGAAGUUGGAUUCUGCCAAAUUUUGAAAACGUAUCAACUUCGAGGUAUCGAUACUCGUACCUUGAGUACUGAUACAUUUACCCAAAAUAUGAAAAAUUCACAAGUUAAAAUUUUAUCCGCGCUCAAAACAAUAUUCUACUCAAUACACAAUUAUAAUCUAAUUUAACUAAACUUAUUAAUAGCUUUUAAACAUUUAUCAUGUCACAUCCAUACAUUUAAAUAAGAAUAUCUAACAUGCAUUAUCAACCUUAAUCUCAAACAUCAAUUUAGUCACAAACGAAGUCCAAAACAACAUCCAUAUUUCGCCAAUCCAAUACCAAGAAAGAAUUAAUAAAAUAAUGUUAAUAAUCAAAACUAAAACUCUAACCCACAUUACCUUUAUUCAAUGAGUUCAAAAGAAUCGCAAAACCCACCUACUCAAAAAUAUUGCCUUGCUUAGAUCAUUUCCUUCGCCGCUCCACUCACACCCAAAAAGCUACUUAUCUGUAAGAUUUUAAUGUGGAGUGUGAGCUUAAUUAAGCUUAGUGAAUGUUCAGAACUACCGUUAAGCAUACACAACGUCACAUGUUAAGCAAGAUCAAAUAGAUACAUGCACAACCAUAUUUACUACGAGUCUAAAUAAUAAAUUCAUGCUUCAUUAAUUCAUAAAUCUCGCAUAUACUCUCACAUGCAACUAAAUACAACUCAAAUAUAUAAUUCAUUUAUCGAUAAUUCAUCAAGACAAAACAACAUACUCAUGCUUUAAUGACCCACAAGUAUAACUUAUAUAUUCACAUACAUUUACACACAACAUUUUCGUGUAUUAAUCAAUUAAUGAUAAUUUGACUAUUUGGAAACAUGAAACAUAAAAGUGGACUCUAUCAGCACUCAUUGCAUACACGAAUCUCAAUCACACCAAUGACUCAAAGAGUCUAACAUAUCCCAUAAGUAUAGCAUAAAGCUAAACACUCUUCAACACACCAACAUAUCUCGAUGAAUAGAGCCCAGCUUAACAUUCCCUUAUCCCUCCAAUCUAUCCAGGGGCCUCAAUGCCCAAAUCACAAAAUACAAGGGUGAGUACUCACAAUCCUACGUCAUACCAACUAUAUCUAACGGUUUCAAGAGAUCACAAGGCCAAAAUAUCCAUAAAUACACAUAUUUAAUUACUAUUUUAAUGUACAUAAUCUCUGUUCAUAAUCAUCAAUUCGUAUAACAAAUUUGUACACAAUGCAUGCUUAUUGAAUUCAUAUUUAUUUUCACUUUAAGUGCCACAACUAUGCUCAUUGAGCCAUCAUAUAUCCGACCACAUAUGUGUGCAUUAAAAAUCAAAUUAUCACAUAUCACAUAUAAGUAUUCACACACAUAUUACCUAUCACAAUAUCACAUUCCACCACUUGUCAAACAUUAUGCAUAUUUUUACGAGGCAAAAGGCAUAAGGCUUACACUAGGAACUUAGGAUAGAGGUUUAGGCUAUUCCCAAGCUUCUCCCAUUUAAUGCUAUGAAUCGUGCAUACCAACAGCAAAUCUGGACACUCACUAAUUAUGCUUCCGCUUACAAGUCGAAUGCUCAAAUUAGCUUUUCCUUGCCCUUAAACUUGCUCAUAGAGGCUCUCACUUGAUCUGGCACUUUGUACAAACAAUAAACACAUUGAAAACUCAUCAAAGGCUAGCCAUGAACAAAACCAAACGACAAGAAAUAUACAAUUCAAGCGUCUCCUUUUUCAUUACCAAAAACUAGCUAGCUUUGCCAAAAUUAUAGUUUCGACAUCCUAAUCUUGUUUCUAAUCCUCAAUUUCAAUUUCAAACAUCAUAAAAAUCAUUUAAUUUCAUAUAUAAACCAUUAAUUUCACAUAAAUCCAUGGUCUUAAAUUUUCUAAAAAAUUAAAGCUUUUAAGAACAUGUAAAAGGGGAAAACGCUUGAUUCUUAAAAAUUCAGUUAUGAACUAUCAAAUUGAAGUGAAAUACCUUCUAAUUAGGUUAGAAUGAAUAAAAAAUAACUUUGAAAUCACGGGUUUACUUAGGAUUACGAGAUUUGUAAUUUUUGAAUCCAAACAUACUUUAUGAACACCAAAUCUAAAUAUAAUCGUUUAAAACUCGAUCUGAAUUAAUAAGACUCUUUAUUUAACCAUAAAAAGUCAAAAUAUUACCUUGAUUUGAUGAAAAUGAUGAUCUACAACUCUAAUUCAGGAUUUGAACUCUAGAAGAACAAUGGUGAAUUUGGGGAAGAAAACACGUUUAUCGUUUGAAAUUGGAGGUUGUUUUGGUGUUUGGGGAGUUAAUAAAUACAAAAGAAUGAAUUGAUUUUGAAAGAACUCUCUUAAUUUUAAGUUUAAAAAACUUUAAAUGCUUUGGGGCUUUCAAAGGAAGAAGAUGUGAAUGACUUGACUUAAAGAAGAAUACCAAUUUUCAAAAAUUAGGCAAUUUGCCCUUUUAGUCACUCCUAAUUCUUCCAUUUUCCCAUUUAGUCCUAAAUCAAUUAAAACCUAUUUUUUUUCAAAUUAGACCUCAAAAUUAAAUUUUUAUUUAAGCUAUUUAUCAAAAUAAAAACCCGAAUAUGUUACAAGCCCAAAACUACUAGGCCCAAUUUUGGGAUGUGACAUAGGAACUGCAUGUUCUAUAAAGUCUCCAAAGGAAAUAGAUUUAUAGAGCACGAGUUUUAGUGAUGUUAGAAAGCCCUUGUAGUAAAAGGCAGAAAGGACAUAGAAUGUGAGAAAGACCACAAAUGUCGAAACCACUUGGGCAGUCGCCAAGUGUCGUCCGCCAGAAAUAUUAAUUGCAAAUAUCAAGGGGUUAAAUUUUGAGUUGGACGCCUUGCAUUUUUUCUUAAUUCUAUACGUGGAUCUCACUACGUUCCCCCAAACUUAUAAGUUUUCUAUUUAAAUACAUGUCAUUUAAAGAUUUAGAAAUCGCGAGGGACCCAACCAGAAUUUUCUAGAAGUAAGGCGAAUGUCGAAAACUUGCAUUUAUACAAAGGGGCACCCGUAGAGGCUCUACCUUGGGGGUUUAGUUGUCAUUUUACGUUUUUAAGAUUUGGUCCAGUAAAUUUGUAAUUUGUUUAUGAAAGUGAAGCUUUAAGGUUUUAUCAUUAGUUAAUAUGAAUGGAUUAAAUAUGUAAUUAAAUUCAAAAAAGAAAUCUAAUUAAGUCAUUUGGGUUAUUGUGGAAUCUGAUACCCAGACUUGAGGAAUGGGUCAGCGAGAGGGUGCUACAAAUUUAAUGGUAUCAGAUUUUUAGUUUAGCCAAUCCUCUUGACUUAGGUGUUACAAGAUAACUCCUUUACACAUGAUUAUAUAAGAUCUGGCUUAGUCCCUCAAGAAGGGAUAGGAGAAUGUAAGUAUGACAAAGAUAAGUACAGAAUUAGCGGAUUAUAGUCAGGAUGAUGAAAAGUAUAAUAUAGGGAAAGAAAAAUAGUAAAAAUUUUCAUUACGAUGAGCAAUACAAAUACAAAAAGCCAAUCAAACAUCAUCCCUAACAUGCGAAUCAACCGUAUCUUUCGCGUAUUCCUCCCCCUCAUGAAUAGCCUCCUCGAAUGGAGUAGGUGUAGAGGGCCCAUGAUCUGGUGGGAAAAAGAUGCCACCAGAAUUUUUUCAAUUCUAAUAAAACUCUUCUUACUUGACGCUAAAAGGACUCAUUUUAUUGAAGCCUAGAUUUUCGUUAAUGUACUCGCGUUGACAACUAAAGUCCACUCGACUCACAUCAAAGAGGCCCAUGACAACUUGGGCAUGAAGAAUGUAAUUAGACCUCAGCUUGGGAAGAUAAUCUGUGAUCCUCACCACAGUUUCUACUUUGUAUUGCUCCAGGGCUUCACCGUUCUCCUUUUGGAUCCUUUUUAGGUCCGCUAAGUGAUGCUCUUCUUGUGCAUUGAUUUAGUCCUCAAAUUGAGGGACCCUACCCUCAAGCUCCAUUUUUAAUGAGUUCUACUUGGACUUCCAACUAAAGGCGAAUUCUACGAACUCCUGAGCUUGACCUUUACAAGCCAUCAGUAUGAAAAAACCUUUUUAGUGAACUCUGGUUGCUAAAGAUAUGACAUAAACCUUUUGAAACAAAUAAAUAGAACACAUUUUCACCAUUUGACGACAAUAUAUAAAAUAUGCUAUUAGAUCCCACUAAGAAGUUCCCAUUAAUUUCCCAGGUGCAACCUUGUAAGGUAUCAGAAUCUCAACGAAAAAAUGGUGAAGGGGCAAAUGGAACCUCUAAGGAAAGCAAAACCUAAGGCGAACCUUCUCCUUCUAAAUCAACCUAACUCAGACAGUGCUUUCCUUUUGGGAUUGAAAACUCAUACGUAAAAUUUAACCAACUUCAAUCCCCUUACAUUCAUGAAAACUCCUCAUCUACUCCACCGUCAUAUUACACCCAAACUCUUCAUUUUCCAAGGGGAGACCAUGAGGCCUCAUUGGUGCUAUCUAAUGCCUUAAUGCAUCAUCUCCAGCAUAAUAUUCAAAUGUAUAGAAAAAACCAAAACUAAAAAGAAACAAAGAAAAUAAAGAAGGAAGCCUACUAAAUACAAACAAAGCGAACAUAACUCUCAGCACUAUAAGCAACACACCGAAAAGUUUAGAGAAAUCAAACAUUGGAAAAUAAAAAGAUGAAGAAAUAAACCUGAAGUCCCUAUAUUUUUAAGAUAAGAGCGACCCUUGACAUUCUAUAUAUGUGUAACAGCCAAAUAAUCAUAUGAACACUCAGACACGUUUCUAAAAAAUGUAUAAUAGGGUUUUCUCUUAGAGACACGUGACAUAGUCAUAUCACCGCCAUUAAUCAUAACUUGUCUCGAUUACCCAAGAGACAUGCCACCAUUUAAUGCACCUUUCCAUAUAUUUCUCUACACCCCUAAAUUCAAAGCAUGCCGCAAAUCAUAAUUUCAAACUCUUAAUUUUUUUCCAACUUUAGCAAACAACCCUAUUAAAUCUAGUAGACUCAAUCGAGGUCACUUUAUAAUCUCCCUCUCAUCUGUGGCGGCAAUUGUUAUAACACAUCUACAAAUGGCUAUACGUGUCACCCCUGAAUGAAUCUCACAUUGAGUGAACCUCCAACAUGAAGUCACCUUUGAGCGAACCUCUGACGUGGAUUCUCGUUAAAAGUACCUAGGGCUUCAUGCCCAUUAAUUAUUAAGCCAUCUUAUGAUGUCACAUCACUAAUUUAUAGGAUCUCAUCCAUCACUAUUAAAAGCAACAAGAUAUGACUUUGCUACCAAUGAGGCAUCGACACGUAGCAUCUUCUUUAUCCCACGUAUAUAAGCCUUCCCAUUCUUCUAACGAGGUCAUUCUAGAGCAACAUCCUAAACUAAACCAACUCUUCACUCAUCUCCUACAACUCUUUCGGCCCUUUUCACCACCAUAACACAACAACUCUCUGCCUCUCAACGAAAAACCAUUACCUUUCUUGUAAUACUCUUUCGGAAUAGGGUUACAAAGCAUUAUUGAAAAACUGUAACAUCAAAACAUUUAUUUCAAAACAUUUCAUAAUCAUUGAAAAUCUAAUCGAACACAUGCAUAAUGUCCCUUUUUCGAGCUCUCGAGGCUUUAGAAACACUUUAGAAAUGAUUCGAGACUAAAUCGAAUACAUUUAGAACUUCAUGGCAAAAGAUAGAAAAAUUCAUACUACAAGGGUCACAUGGCCGUGUGGUCAAGCCGUGUGACUCACACGGUUGAGACACAUGCUCGUGUCUCAGGCCGUGUGGACAUUUGAAAUAGGGACACACGGCCAUAUCUCAUCCCAUGUCUGUGCCCGUGUAACUCUCUGACUUGGUACACACGACCAAGCCACCCGACCAUGUGUCAGGCCGUGUAACACUCGAAAUACAGUCUUUAAAAACCUACAGGGGACGCACGGUCGUGUCGUAUGGCCGUGUGUCACACAUGGCUAAGACACACUGUAACACCCCUAACCCAUGUCUGUCACCGGAAUAGGGUUACAGAGUAUUACCAAACUUAUCACAUAAACAAUCAUACAUUUCAUGUUCAUCUCUCAUAUCCAAACAAAAGUCAUUCAAAUUCAAUCGUAUAGUCCCUAACUCGAGCCCUCGACACCCAAAACAAGCAUUAAAAACAAUUUGGGACUAAAUUGAGAACUCAAGGAAAUUUUGGGUAAGCAUUGAAAAUUUUCAAAGUGCAAAGGAUACACGCCCGUGUGGGCAUUCGAAAUGGGAUCACAUGGCCGUUUCCAACCCAUAUCCAACCCCGUGCAACUCAUUGACUUGGGUCACACGGUCAACCACACGCCCGUGUGCUAGGCCGUGUGAAAACUAUAGAGUAUACUGAAUUGUGCCACAAGGCCAAGCCACAUGCCUGUGUGCUAAGCCGUGUGUGGCUACCUACUUGCUUUCUUUAAAAGUUACAGGGGACACACGACCAUGUCACCUGACCAUGUGUCACCCAUGACUAAAACACACGCUCGUGUCUCUUCCCGUGUGGACAAAAUAGGCUAUGUUCCAAGCCACAUUACUCACCCAAAAUUUUACAACAACUUAAACAUACCAAAAAGCAUAUGACCAUAUUAUCAAUAGGCAUUCAAACCAACCAAAGUCACGUCUAAAUCAUGCAAUUUCAUUACUAACAAUCAUAAGCUCUUAGACAUCUCAAAUAAUCAUUUAAAUACAUGCCAAAAUCACCUCCAAAAGCUACCUAAAUGGUCAAUUGCAUAUAUGCACUAUCUUGCCUAAACAUAACAUGCUUACCACUUAUCAAAUUCAUCUAUUAUUUACCAAGCUACUAAAGCAAAAUCAAGGCACUCCCAUGGAAAUCAUACAUACUACAAAAUGAGGCUAGCUACACAUAUAUAUACAAACCAACAUAUACCAAAACAAGCCAAAUCAAAUGGCUAAUUGCAGAACAAAACAUAUAGGCUUUCAUUAGCCAAAUGACCUAUACAUGCCAUAUAACCAAAAUACAUAAAGUCCAAAAGUACCAAAAUGAAAGUUUGAUAGUGCGAUGCAAUCCUCGACAACUUCCAAACCGAGCAAGCUUCCGAAUCACUAUAAAACACAAAAAAUUAAACAUAGUAAGCAAUUAAACUUAGUAAGUUCGUAUAACAUAAAACUCAUCUUACCAUUUAAUCACAAUUUAAGUAAUUAAACAUAGCAUAAUGCAACUCAAUUUGAUCCACAAGCCUAACACAUAUUCAUCCACAAUGUUAGACAUGAAAUCACAAAUCUCAUAGAUUCAAUUCUCACAUGAUUCACAUACAUACCUGUACUAGUUCAUAUCGAACUCAUACACUCUCGUAAUAACACUAUGCUCGUUGAACCAUUUGGAAUAAUAUCAGAUACUUGGGUAUCUCGUACACUAAGUGCCAAUACAUGGCCGUAACAAUCUCUAUCUCAUAUCUCAUAUAGAUGCUCACUCUCGAGCCAUCACUUGGUCUGCUCACACAAGCUGUCGGUCAAGACACAGCUACACGGUGCUACUCACUCAAGCUAUCAAGUAACAACAACACAUGCUGAAAACUUAUCCACCGGUAGAACGUAUGAGACCAACACUCAAAACAUGGUAACCCCUAAUGACAUGUCAUUUGAUCCUAUCUAUUCCUAAGGUUCAACCGGGAUCCAUAUGAUUACCGAUAUCUCAUCAAGAAUUUUCGUAGUAUCGUAUCAUCCAAUUAUAUCAAUUAAGCAUGCAAACACAUAUAUAAUUUAAAGCUUAUUAACAUACGAACUUACCUUGAACUCGUACGACGGAAAUUUAUCAUUCAAUCCAAAACUUUUUCUUUUCCCCGAUCUUAUCCGUACGUUGCUUUUCUUGAUCUAUAUAAUCAAAUUUAACUACUUUAAUUCAUAUUUUACUCAAUUCAAUCCAAAUUUCAUGUUAUGGCAAAACCACCAUUUUGCCCCUAAACUUUUGACUUCUUUACAAUUUAGUCCUAAACUCAUAAAAAUGCAAAUUCAUGCAAUUUAAUCCACAUCCAUGCUAGCCGAACUUCAUACAAGCUUAUAGUAGCCCACAUAUUUCAUUAAUUCACACAUUUCACCACAUAGUUUUCACUUUUCUCAAUUUAAUCCCUAUUUAACAUUUUCAACCAAAAUCACUUUACAAAACUUGUUUAUCUAACAACAACCAUCCAUUUUCUACCAUCAAAUAUCAAAACACAUACACAUUCAUAAAUGGUAAAACCCUAAUACUUUAACAGUUUUACAAAUUAGUCCCUAGGCUAGCUAGAUUAAGCUACAACGACUCCAAAAACAUAGAAAUCAUUAAAAAGGGAUGAAAAACGUACCAUGCAUAUAACAAAAUGAAAAAUCGAAGCUCCCUUCUUCAACAAUGGCUAUUUCGGUUGUGGAAAGAUGAAAUGAGAAAGAUGGUAGUCAUUUUCUUUUCUUUUUCUUUACUAAACAUUUAACUAAUUAUCAAUUUACUAUUUUAACCUUACAUAUUAACCUUAAAAAUCACUUAAAUGAUGUCCAUCUUUGCCCACUAACUCUUAUAAUGGUCUAAUUACCACAUAAAGACCUCCACUUUAAAGUUCUAUAGCUAUUAGACACCUUUAGCUAUUAGAACCCAACUUUUGCAUUUUACGUGAUUUAGUCAUUUUUAUCAAAUUUAGCAUACAAACGAUAAAAUUUCUUAACAAAAUUUUCAUAUGACUUUACUAACAUGCUGUAGACAUUAAAAUAAUAAUAAAAUAAAUAUUUUGACUUCGAAUUUGUGGUCCCAAAACCACUAUUCUGAUUUAACUGAAAACGAGUUGUUACACACACGUCCCUGUCUUAGGUUGUGUGGACAAGAAAUAGGCCAAAUUCAAACCAUUUCUUUCAUCCAAUUCAAGUACACUUAAACAAGUCAUAUGCACAUAUGACCAAGGUAUCAAAACAUGUUCAACCAUGCAUAAAAUGACCAAUUUCCAUUCAACCAAUAUGCCAUAAAGGUACCUCAAACACAACAACCAAAUAUGUUUAAACAUUUGCAUAAUCUAGCCAUUCACCAACCAUACACAACUACCUAUUUUCAUGUCAAGUCAUAGCACAAUUAACCAUAUGCCAAACACAUCUAAAUAAUCAAAAAAUAUCAUCACUUAACCAUUUCAACAUCAACCAUUGAAGCACCAAAAUGCUAGCAUGUCAUCAACCAUAAAACCACAUAUAUACAUGCCAACAUGACAAAUAGUUCAUCAACCAAAAUACCAUAUUUACAAGCCAAAUAUAAUGACUAUUUCAACAAGCACAAAACAUCUAUACAUUAAACAUUCCGAAACAUGUGCAUAUUUAUCCCUUUAUAAACUAUUUUGUUUCUAUGCCAAAACAUAUCACAAUUGAUACAUAUCAACCAUACCAUAAUAGAUUCAUACCAUAUCAAAAUAACCUUACCAUUUGGACUAUUCCUCUCAUGCAUCAUAACUGCCUAAAUAACAUAAACCAACCAUUUCCAAAUAGUACCAAAUAAUCGACAUUUAUAAACCAUAUUUACAUCAUGCACAUCUAGUUCUGAACCUUUCCAAACUGAACUAUAUUUUGACCAUGUUGAGAUCAAUUUCUCACAUAUCAUUUUGGCAAUUUAAAGAUACAUUAACAUAUACCAAUUUUGGUCAUUUCAAAAUAUGCAUCAAUUUGACCAUACUAACGCCAACCAACAAGACAUCAAUAGUACCUUAAGUACUUCAAAUCCAAGGCAACAUUUCAUGCCAUAAUCAUCAACCAAAAUGACAUAUAUGCAAAACUCAUCAAUUAAACAUUAAAUAUAGUCCACCUAUACAUGUCAUUAUAACCACUACCAAAGUAUCAAAAUCUACCAAUAAAAAAAAUUGAUGGAUAGUGUGAUGGAUCUCCAACUAGCUUCCAACCCGAUCGAGCUUCCGAUAAUUUCUAAAGUAAAGGAAAAAUAACUAUGUAAGGAUUGUAUGCUUAGUAAGCUCGUAUAAACUUUAAGCAUAAAAUUCCACUUCAAUAAUAAACUUUAUAAAAUAAACAUAAAUUUAUGCCAAUGCCAUAAGAUUCAUAAAUCGAUAUGAACAAUAACUCUCAAAUGAGUAAGUUCAUUAAUGUCACAUAUAUCUAUAAUUCAUAAUGUUAUAGGAUUUUAGAGGACUUAAUAGAUAAUCAACAACCUUUUUAUAAGAUUAUACACUUUUCAAUUUACUUUCCUUUCAUUCCGUUCCCAAUGCUUAUCUUAAGUCUAAACAAUAUUAUCAAUUCCCAACUUGGUGUAUUUAUCCAUGAUAUAGGUAUAUUCAUCUAUAGUAUACUUAAUUUGCUCACAUAUAAAUACAUAACUUAUCAUAUUAAAAUUUUUAUCACAUCAAAAUACAUCCCAAUUACGUACUUAUUGUUUCAUUCUCUUUUCUUACCUGAUUCAUAUGCAUAGUACAAGCAUGAUCAUAAAUAUCAAUCAUAUCCACAAGCUUGGCAUAAGCUUAAGCACAUCAACAACGCCGCUAAAGAUCUGAGCAUUAGCGGCGCUUUUUUUAAAAAUGCCGCUAAAGCCCCGAAAGGUAGAAAACGAUGCCGUUGGGCUUAGGUUUUUUGCGGUGUUUUUCCAAAAAACGCCACUAAUGCUCAUUUUUAGCGGCUCUUUUUUUAAAGCGCUGCUAAUGCUCGAUCUUUAGCAGCAUUUUACGUAAUGCGCCGCUAAUGCUCAAUUUUUAGCGGCGUUUUUUGUUCAAACGCCGCAAAAAAUGCCGUUAAAAGCCUGUUUGAUGUAGUGUUUUAGUUCAUUUAAACAUGAUGCAUAUGAAUUUGACGUGGAUAACCAUUAUACCUGAGCAUGAUUCAUGUUUUAUCAUCCAUCUCAACAUAACAUAUUUUUCAAAUUCAUUAAAUAGAUUAUCUUACCAAGAUUUUCCAUUAGAAGAACGACUUACGUGUAAGACUACAUCGUCAGAUAGACCGAACACACCAGACAGAAGCUCAUAAGAGCUUAUCCAAUCGGAAUACACCAAACAGAAGCUCAUAAAAGCUGGUCCACCUAAAACACACUAAUAGAAGCUCAUAAGAGCUGAUCUACCCGAAUCACGCCAAAUAGAAAGUAUAACUCGAGAGUUCGGAACAAAUGCUGAACCUCGAUUUACUUGGGUAAUAUACAAAUAUCUCCCUCCAAUAACAUCUCCACUCCAAACCCCCGUAAUACACCAAAACACAAAUGUAAUCUAUCUCGCGUUCAAUUCAAACCGAGCAUCAAAUUCAAUAUUAUAACUCAUAUAAUGAUUCAUUUCCAACAAUAGAAUAUAUAUAAUAUCCGUAAUACCAAUCACCUAUUUAUAUAAAUGCUAAAUUUUAACCGUACGAACUUACCUGGCUAAAUUAAAGAAAUGUCAAAGUACAGAGGCAUUUUGGUAAAUUUUCAUUCUCCUCGAUUUUCCACUCGAUCUUGAUCUAAAUUAAUAAUUUCAUUCAAUCUAUUAAUUUCGAUAGUAAAACAAUAUACUUUAUACAAUUUAGUCACUUUGACAUUUUUAUAAAAUUUCCCCUAAAGUUUUACUUUUAUUCAAUUUAGCCCCUGAGCCUAAAACAUGAAAAUUAACCAUUUUUACCCAAAAUUGAGCCUAGUAAAAAACUCAUGGAAUCCAAUACAGCCAAUUAUUACAAAAAUUUCACAUUAAAUCCUUAUACUUUUACUAUUUUAACAAUUUGGUCCCUAAUUGGAAAAUUCAUCAAAAAUCACUUAAUAAAAUACUUUUAAAUAACAAAUAAUAUCUCAAAUUCAUCAUUUAACAUCUAAAAUAACAAUUUUCAUCAAUUGAAACAUUUAAAAUCUUUAACAAUUUUAAAAUCAAAGGUACGGGCUAGUUGGACCUAGUUGCAAUGAUCUCAAAAGCAUAAAAAUUAUUUUAAAUGGGACUAAAAUGAAAUUACAUGCAUACAUGGAAGCUUGGAAAAAGCUUCAAAGUCUAACAAUGGCUUUCUUCUUUCUCAAUUUUGGCAAAACAUUGAAAAGAGAUAGGUGAUUUCUUUAGCAUAUAUAUUUUCAUAAUAAGACAAAGACAACCGCCCACUCAUAUAUAUAAUAUAUUAUAUCUACCAUAUUAGUCCAUGAAUUUAAUUUUCCAUAGAAAUUAAACAUCUUUAGUUAGUAGAAUUAAAUUUUCACACUUUUUACGAUUUAGUCCUUUUCGCUUAAUUAACUAUCGAAACGUUAAAAUUUUUCAACGAAACUUAAAUAACACCUUAAUGACACUCCAUAAAUAUUUAUAAAAAUAUUUACGGCUCGGUUUAUAGAAACGAGGUCCCAAUUCCUCAUUUUCUAAAACCACUUGACUUUAGAUUCUUACCACUUGAACUUAAUUAAUCAUUUAAAUAGUAUAAAAUACCAUAUCAAAAACUUUGUUAAAACCAUAUUCGACUCGUAAAUAUUAAAUAAUAAUAUUUACGAACUUACUCAUCAAAUUUGGUGGCCCCGAAACUACUAUUUCUGACAUCACUGAAAAAUUAACUGUUACAUUUUCCACCAACUUUCUCCCUUGUUGAUUUCUGUCAUCAACAAAUUUCCAUUUAAUUAUAGAUUUUGAUAAAUUCAAAGUGAGAUUGUCAUGUCCUUGUAUAUCCAUAUAUAUAUUCAUAAAAAUAUGGGAAAGAGGUGAUUUAAAGAUCGAAUUCAAGAAAAGUAUUAAUUGAAAUCUUAAAUAUAAAUCCUUUUUAUCACUCCUCAUGUGGGGAACAUAACCAAUAAAAGCUCCUUUAUUUUUAAAAUUAUCGAAAUUUGCAAUGUCUUGAAUUAAUUACCGAAAUGGACCAUUUCUCCUAAAAAGGCGUCCACGUCAGCACGUUGUCAGGGGAUAAAGCAGGAAAACGCUUCCUCGAGGUAGCGCUUUGUCUACGUGGACAGAAAACGCUUCCUUGAGGGCGCACUUUGUGUCCACGUGGACAAAGCGCUUCCUUGAGGAAGCACUUUCCCCGUUUGUUAGGGUUUAAGGUUUUUUGCAAUUAGGGUUAGGGUUUUGGAGUUUUUGAGUUUUUAAAUUUUAGGGUUUUAAGGAAAAAAUUAAAUAAAUAAGGGUUUAGGGUUUCUUAAUUAAAUUAGUUAUAAAUUUUAAAAAAUUAUAAAUUAAUUAUAAAGUCUAACUUUAUUUAAAUAUAGUUAAAUAUUAAUUACAAUUAUUAUAUUUUUUUCUUGAAUUUUGAAUUUAAACUUCUACAGUUUAAAAUAUAUAUUAAAUAUUAAAAUAUUAAAAUUUAUGUUAAAUUCUACUAAAUAAAGUUAUUAAUACUUAUUUAUAAAUCAUUCACUAACAAUCAAUAAAAUAUUUACCCAUGAUCUUAAGACCUUAAGGAAUUAUUAUCCCUGAAAUAUUCUAUUAUUAAUAUGAUUUUAUUAUAUUAAAUUUCAUGUAUUUUUUUGCAUAUUAUAUUAUAUUAAUAUUUUUAAUUUAUUAUAAAUUUAAAAUUACAGCAAAAGAUAUAUUUAAUAUAUAUAUAAACUUUUAACUCUUUUUCUGUUUUUCAUAAAAAACUCUUUUUCUAUUUUAAAAUUUAAAAAUACAAAAAUUCAUUAUAUAUUUUAUUUUUAAUUUAUUAUUAAAAAAAUUAUUUUCAUAAAUUUAAUUUUUACUAAAAACAUUUAAUUUUAUUAGUUUAUUUUUUUAGAAGAGUUUAAAAUAUAUAACGAAUAACAACUAGAUUUAUUUGAUUUUUCCUUAAAAACCCUAAAUACUAAACCCCAAUCUAAUUUUUUAAAAAUUUAUAAUUAAUUUGCUCAAGUAACCCUAAACCCUAAUUUAUUUGAUUUUUUUCCUUAAAAACCCUAAACACUAAACCCUAAUAUAAUUUUUAAAAAAAUUAUAAUUAAUUUACUCAAGUAACCCUAAACCCUAAUUUAUUUGAUUUUUUCCUUAAAAACCAUAAACAUUAAACCCUAAUCUAAUUUUUUAAAAUUUAUAAUUAAUUUAAUUAAGAAACUCAAAACCCCUUAAAACCCUAAACCCUUAUUUAUUUAAUUUUUUCCUUAAAACCCUAAAAUCUAAAAACUCAAAACCCCCCAAACCCUAACUCUAAUUAUAAAAAACCCUAAAUCCUAACAAACGGGGAAAGUGUUUUAUCAAGAAAGCGCUUUGUCCACGUGGACACAAAGCGCGCCCUCAAGGAAGCGUUUUCUGUCCACGUGGACAAAGCGCUUCCUUGAGGAAGCGUUUUCCUGCUUUAUUCCCUGACAACGCGCUGAUGUGGACGCGUUUUUGGGGGAAAUGGUCCAUUUCGAUAAUUAAUUUAGGACCUGGCCCAUUUUGAUAAUUUUAAAAAUAAAGGGGCUUUUAUUGAUUAAUUGCCCCUCAUGUGAUUCAAUGGAUGUUUAUACCUAUAUUUGUAAGCAAAUAAUCUGUAGUCAUAUAAUCUAAUUAGGGAUGGCAAUAGACCGGGGUGAGGGUAAAUAUUAUUAAAUCCAUCACCGCUCCAUAAUUAGCACCAUUAUGUAUAAUCUUGAAAACCCACCUUUAAGGGUGUUGGAUACAUCCAUCUCCGCCUCACCCGCUUUGCAUCAAUUUAAAUUUUGCUAUUUAUUUUUAAUAUUUUUAAUCUUUUUAAAUUCAAGUAAAUAUUUAAAUAUAAUUCUUCAAAAAACAAUUUAAACAUAAAAUAUAUGAAAUUUUUUAUAUUAUGUUAUUACAUUUGUACCCUUUUAAUAGUUUAAUUUAUAUGUAAAAAUAAAAUGAUAAUUUCAUAUAGUAGAGCGGGUCGGGGUGGGGCAACCAAUUACCUUAAUCACUCCAUAUUCACUAUUCAAAAUAAACAAUUCCAUCUUGCCCUGUCUCGCAUCCACUUUUCAAAAGAAAAAUCCACUCCAUUCAGGGGCAAAGUCAGAAAAUUUGUUUAGGAGACUGAAAUUAAAUUGUAAUUUUUACGAUAGUAAAAAUACAAUUUCACCAUUUGAAUAGCUUAUAUUUUUUAUAAUUUUUAAAGUAUUAAAUCAAAUUUUUAUUAUUUUUAAGAGAGGCCAAAGUAUAAAUUUAUCUUUAUUAAUUUAAAAUUUUAAAAACUUUAAGAGACUUAAAUGAAAUUUUUUUAUUUUCCAAACUCCAUUUGAAACAUAUUGGUAGGAAAUGUUUGAAUUUUUCCAGUUUAACAAAUUUGUUUAAAAGAAAGUUAAGCCAAUAAAUUGUUUAUAAUUCAUUCAGUAGUCUAUAUCACAGACAUAAAAGUUUUUCAUAUUAUUGAGAUUCUGAUGCUUUUACUUUUAACAUAUUCAGAUGUGAUCAUGUUCUCCUUUAAAAUCCCUCCCUUGACAAAAGUAAACCACUAAAUUUUUAUCUUUUGCUGUUGUAUUAUAUAGCAAUUUUCUAAGAAAAAGUUCAAGUAGUUGACUUGUGUUCUGAAAGUAUACUUUUCUCCACAAUUUUCAUCAAACUCAUAUUUUAAACCUUUAAUUAGAGGGAAAUGUUAAUCAGUGGCUAAUAGCUAUUUUAAGGUGGUAUGAAUAAAUAUAUAUAUAUAUAUAUAUAUAUUAUUAAACGUAAAGAAGACUUCUAAAUAAAUAAACAAACCCUAAUUAGAGAUAGUAGCAUUGUUUUGGGUGGAUGUAUUUGAGAUUUUUUUUUAUUAUCAUAUGGAAUUGAUUAAAUAGUUUAAUUUAUUCCUUAUAUCAUUAAAAUUGAAAUAGAGUUAAUAUAUAUUGUUUAAAAAAUAUCAUUUGUUGUUUAAUAGAGUUAAUAUUUUUAAAUUUUCUAUGGUUCUAUAAAUAAAAUCUUUUGUUUGGAAUUGGACUACAAUUGAAAAAAAUUCAAGAUAAUUUUUAUAAAGUAAAUGUUAACUCUAUUACAAUUUAGACUUAUUUGACUUUUUUUAAUAAUAUAGGGACUCAAUUAAUCCAUUUAAUAAUAGAGACUCUAAUUUCAUCUAAUUCCUAUAAAAGAGGGACCUCUCAAGUACUUUAACCCAUUAUUUUUUCAAAUGAUAUAGACAUUGAUCAUUGAUUACAAUUAAUUUUUUUAUCAAUUUAUACCAAUCAAUAGGGUAGUACUAUCGAUUGAGUCUUAGCUCCGUUUGCGUCAGCAUUGUUGCUAGUAUAAAAAGACGUGAGGUUGAGUGUGUUGAAGCUCAUUAUCCUUUUAUUUAAGGGUUGGAGAGGGACUAUGGGUAAUUUUAGGCAUUGUAUCGUAAAACAAGGUCUAAUAAUGACAUUGACUCUCAAAUUAAUUAAAUUAUAAUUUAACUCUUUUAAAAAAUUUAAAUGUAAGAGUUGAUAUAAUGGUAAAAUUACAUUUUAAUCUCCUAAAAGAUUAUAAUUUAAUUCUUGUUUUUUUUGGAUGAAUAGCAAUCCCCAAAAAAAAAGAACACGUAAAAUAGAAAGCAACAUACUGUGUUGGGUGUAGUGAUUAGGUAUAUUGCACUUAAAAUGGAAAUACAAGUUCAAACAUUAAAGACGACAAUUAGAAGGGUCAACCAUGAAUCCAAAACAUAAACCAUAAAAUAAACCAAAAAAAUAUAUUAAGAAAAAAAAAGCAGCAUGCAAGUGAGCUAUGAAGCUCAAACAUAAAAACAGAAAUUGUCUAAAAAUUGGAUGCAAAUGGAUUGGAGUGUCUCCCUCACAACAAAGCUUUAAUUUGAGAAUGAUAAAGUGGAAGAAGAAGUGACAAAGAGGGUGGGCUAAGUGGGUUUGCCCUUUCAAGUAUAAAAGGCAACUCUAAUACUAACAUGGUGCAUUCUUCACCCUGAGCCCAUAUUAAGGAGAAUCAUGGCCCCCUCACUAGGACGAGGAACCCACAUAACUUUUUGGCCCACUCUUUUCCCUUUCAUAAUGUAAUUAAAUAAAUUAGGUAACGUCAUAUUCAGAUCAAAUGAUGAAAAAGAAAAGGAAGGUAAUAAUACUCUGUAUUGGGAUAGUUUAUACUCUGCAUUGGAGUCUACAAUAUUACAUUGUAAUUGUAAUUAAAAAAAGAGAUAAAAGAUAAAUAGGUUUUAUAAAUCAAUUAUCAAGAAUAUUUAAAAGUUGAAAUGAUGAAAUCCAACCAUAUAAUGGAUUGAAUUGAUUUUGGAGGUAUGUAUGUAGCGCAAUUAAAGGAAUUAAAGAAAAGGGAAGAGGUACGUGGUGACUUAUGGAUGAGAUGAGCAAAAGAGUAGAGUAGAGGUGAGGUGUGAGGGUGGAGGCAGACCUGAAUCUCCACACCAAUGCCGUCCUCCAACUGUACGGCCGGUGAUGUAUCAUUAAAUCGCUGCUUUCCUACCCUACACUACUUUGCUCCCCUAUUUCACCCCCCAACCUGGGACCAUUUCUUUAACCUGGAAAACCCAUUGUUUACUCGGUAAUCUCGUAUGAAUUAAAUAAUAUAUAUCAUGUUUUACAUUCUAUAUUUGUUUUGUGUAAUCAUAGUUUUACCUUCACAUAUCACUAGAGGAGUAUAAACAAACCCCAUUUAGGUAUUAAUUAUUUUAAUCCUCUAGUUAGAUUUUCAUUAUAUGUUGUUGGGGAUAAAUCCGAAUUAAGUAAUGAAUAAGAAUAAAUAGAAAAAAUUGGAUAUAAAUAUUGAUGUGGAAAUUUUUUUUUGAAAAAGAUGGAAAAACCACGGGUAAAGCAAAACUUCACUAAACGGAAAAUAACCGAAGAAAAGUACAAGAUGGAGAAAAAACAAAACAAUCCCCUAAAUCCCGAAAAAAUACAAAGCUCUCUGACUAAAACUCAAAAUUCCAUUAAACUCUCUUUUGUUAUGUUGUUGAAUAAAUCUUUCUAGGUUUGCUAAAAGUCAUAUUUAUAGGUUAAAAUUCGUGGGAUAAUAUGAUUAAAAUAUUCCUAGAGUUAUUAGCGUUCGAUUGGGAAAAGAUAGCAGAGUUUAACUAGGAGAAGAAAUUCUGUUAAAUGGGGAAUACAUCACCACGUCGUGGCAUAGUGUAUCGCCUCGUCAGGAUAUCACAUGUCUCGUCAUCGGGACACUGGUUUCUUUUCGUUGGGACGUCGUGUGUCUCAUCGUCGGGACGUCGGCUCUUCCUCAUGGCAGCGCCGACUCUAUUUUAGUCUAAAAUGCGAGGCACACUCUACAAAUUUUCACCUUGACUUGUAUUUCCGCAACGCCUUCUUUGUCAAGCCCUGUCAGGGGCCUAACUCGUUCUUUGCAAGAUACUGACCAAGUUUAAGCAGUGUUUGAACUUGGAAACUGGAAGGCUUUUGGUCAUCAUAUCGGCGACCACCUCCUGAAUAAAGUGAUACCGAAUGUCUAUGUGUUUUGUUCAUUAGUGAUGCAUCUAAUCCUUAGUGAGAUGUAUGACACUUUGACUAUCGCAAUAUAUAAUAGUCGCGUUGUGUUUAUUAACUAGCUCCCUGAAUAGACCUCUCAACCAAAUGGCUUCUUUCGCAACUUCUAUGAUUGUCAUAUAUUCAGCUUCGGUGGUCAAUAAAGCCAUAGUGGCUUGAAGUGUGGCUUUCCAACUAAUGGCGCAUUUUCCGAAAACAAACAGAUAUCCUGUGAGGGAUCUUCUUUGAUCUAAAUCUCUUGCAUAAUCUAAGUUUACAAAGCCCAUUGGACCCUCUGAACUUUUUUCGAACUCUAAACAAGUAUUUAAUGUCCCUUUCAAAUAUCUGAGGAUUCACUUAACUGUUUGCUAGUGUAAUUUACCGAGUCUAGCCAUGUAUGUACUGACAAUGCUAACAACAUGUGAAAUAUUGGGACGAGUGCAAACCAUUGCAUCAUUAAGCUUCCGACUGCACUGGAGUAAGGAACUGAUGACAUAUACUUUUCUUCGUCGAAAACCCUUGCCGUGUUUUCUAACCAAAAUUCAGCUUUCUCUAGAUCGUCUUCGGCUGUACCACAGAACUCUUCAGCCCAUAUUUUUGGAUUUUAUCAACUGGAGGCUUACUUGUAUGUAUUUGAUCCAAACCCUGAGGAACUACGGGGACUGGUUGGUGUACGGGUGGGGGUGGAGGUCGUUGAGCCAAUGAGUUCAUUGUCACGAACUCAGUAAACCACUUGGAAAUCAUCUAGAAGAAGGCUUCUUUAGCCUCUCCUCCUCGGCCCUCAGACGCGGGCCUACUACCGUUAGAAGUUGCCCCGUAAACGGAGGCUUACGCAUUACUUUCUAAUUAAUUGGAAUUGACUCGGUUGGAUGACAUAUUAUCUAUAUGAAAACAUAAUUCAAUUUGAGUCAGGAGUUAUCACACUAUCGUAGGUUAUAUAAUGGCAUGUAUUUCUAGACUCCAUACAUGCUACAUUCAGUCCGAGAACUGACUAAACCGUAGUUCUGAUAUCAUUAAAUGUAACACCCCUAACCCGUAUUUAUCGCCAAAUUAGGGUUACAGAGCAUUACCGUACAAUCGAAAACAUUUAAACUUAACUUCAUUCAAUAACAUGAACAAAUCAUAAACCAUUCAUAUACAUACAUACCGUCCCUAAAUUAACCCUUCGAGACCCUAAAAAUACCCUAGAAAUGAUUCGGGACCAAUUUGAAAUCAUUUGGAAAGUUUAGGAAAAAGUCACAAAAUUUUGAAUAUAGAGGUCACACGGCUGAGACACACGCCCGUGUCUUAGGCCAUGUAACCUUCGAACUAGGGAAAAAUGGUUGUGCCCCAACCCGUGUCCUCACCCAUGUAACUCUUUAAGUAAGGUCACACGGCCAUGUCACACGCCCGUGUGCCAAGCUGUGUAACUCUCUGAGUUGCCCCACACGCGCGUGUACUAGGCCGUAUAACUCACUGACUUGCAUAGAGAGGAACUCUCAGAUGACACAUGGCUGUGUCGCCAGGCCGUGUGCCUUACAUGCCCGUGUCUAGGGGUGAGUAUUCGAUUGAGUCGAGUCGAAUCAAGUCAAAAAAUUUCGAGUAAGUCGAGUUGACGAAUCCUAUUUUAGCAACUGAACUCAAUUUGUAUUUUUUCGAACUAAGUAAAAAAUUUCGAGUCGAAUUGAGUCGAAUUAACGAAUCUUAUUAUUUAUACUUAAUGUUUCGUUUACAUGGACCGAUUAUUUUCCUAGUAGCAAAGUGCAAACUUUUAGAUUAAUUUUGUAUAAAGGAAAAAAGGAGAAUGGGACGAUUAGGGAAGGAAAGUAUGACUAAUGGGUAAACAUUUAUCAAAACAACGUAUUUUUGCCUUUUAACUUGAUAGUUUUGACUUUAAACUUUAGAAAAGGUAAACAUUUUUCAAAAUGACGUAGUUUUGUCUUUUCUUAUUUAAAUUUUCAGAUAACUUGAAUUAGGGAUGAGCGUUCGAUCGAAUCGAGUGAAACCGUUCGAGUUAAAUUAGAAAAAUUAAUAAUGUUAAAUUAAAAUCUUGUACAAUAUAACUAUUUUCAUGUUAGAAAAUAUAAAUUUGAAACAAUAUAUAUUUGAAAACUUUUUUAAAGCAAAAAAAGAAGAAGAUAUUUUAGUAUGAUAAACUUGAAUCACUAAUCACUUAUUUAGAUUCCAAAAUUACUAUUCUAUAAAAAAUUUAAUUUUUUUUAUAUAUUUUUAGAUUUUUUUAAAUUUAUAAUUUUUAAAAAAAUUAUAAAUUUUAGAAUUUUUAUAAAUAUUUUGAAUUUUAAAAAUUAUUUUCAAAAUUUGAAAAUUACUUUGAUUUUUUUUGUAAUUUUUGCUAUGAGAGAGACCAAUUUGCUCAUUUUCAAAAUUGACAGGGACCAAAAUGAUAUUUAUACUAAUCUGUUAUUCGAAUUAUUCGAGUUAUUCGAAUUGUAAAAAUUCAACUCGAACUCGAAAUCCAAAAUUUCUUAUUCGAGUUGACUCAAAUAAUUCGAAUAACUCGAAUAAAUUAACUCGAAAUUUGAAAUUCUUUUCAAUUUUUCGAAUUGAAUUGAAUUUUGCUCACCCAUACCCGUGUCUCAGGCCAUGUGGACUCAAAUUUACUUAAACUCAAGUCGUUUCUAAUACCAUUUCAUGCAUAAACAUUUAGGUCCUUUGUGCACAUUUUCAAAGCACCAAAACCCUAUCAAAACAUAUAAUUUCCAUUUCAAGAAUCCUAAUUCAACUAACCAAUAUGCCAUUCAAAGGCACCUCAAUUGCAUUCAAUAACACUACCUAAACAUGUCAACUUUACCACAUUUCAAUCAUCAAAUACUAGUUCCAUACUUUUCAAAACAUACCACAAACUUGACCAUUAUCAUACCAUUCCAAAUAUACCAUAUAAAACCCAAAUUCUGCCUGGGCCCGCACACACAAAUUAAACCAACCAAAAAUAAUAAUCAAAAUGACCAGUCCGUUUACAUUGGAGCCUGAAAAUUAAAAUAAACCCAUUUCAUUAAACCCACUACUCAGCCCAAAACAAAUAAGCCCAAUACACCCCGGCCCAAUAACCAAAAUUACAAAACCAGCCUAAUUAGGACCCAAAACACUUAGCCCUAGCCUAACCCUAAAUCAGCAGGUUGCCUCCGUUCGGCUCUCCACGCGCGCCGCUUCCCCCACGCGAACCAGGCCUCCACGCCAGCUGGCCAUCCACCUAAAAUAGAAACAAACAAGCAGCAGUGAAAGAAACCGAAUAACAGCAAAAAAGCAAGCAAUCGGAUUACAGCAAAGAAAAUAACAGAAUAAGAGGAUAGAUUUUUUUAUAUUUUUUCAUUUUUCAUUUCUUUCUUUUUCUGUUAUUUCGGCUAUAUAAAGCCAAAUACAGCUCUGUAAAAUGGGUUACUGAAAUCGAAAAUACAAAAACAGAAAUCCAAAGCAACGAAAUCAGAAUGUUUUUUAAGGUGAUAGAAAAUCUUGUUUUCUUCUUUCGAGUAUUUUCUUUCUUUUUUUCUUUAACUUUCCAUUUUUUUUACUGAAUAUAGAUAGAAAAGAGAAGCAAAAUAUAAAAAGGGGGGAUUUACCUUCAUAAAAAUGCCGUCCGAACCUCGUUUAUUCCGUUCAAAUCGGUUUAAAUGAGGGAUUUUAGAGUUGAAGCGGCGGAAAUGGAGGAGAGAUUUAGUUUUUUUUAGGUCUGUUAAAAGUGAUAAAUGGUUGUUAAUUUUUAGGGUUUAAUCUGGCUUGUAUAUAAUGCAUGAAACGGCACCGUUUCGGGCCUGUUUCAGUGGCUCCAAAACGGUGCCGUAUUGGUUAUAACCUGUGACUCGACCCGUCUGCCUAAAGGAUCCGAGUGUUUCUGCGGUAAAUGGGAAAUUUUCGCACGAGGUCCUUUAACAUUUCAAGCGCGUUUCGAUCCGGUCCUUUUUUGUAUUUUAUUUCCUUUUAAAUUUUAUCUCCC